rnacentral:rRNA from 1 species
GUACCAGACUCCUACGGGAGGCAGCAGUGGGGGAUAUUGCACAAUGGAGGGAACUCUGAUGCAGCGACGCCGCGUGAGGGAAGAAGGUUUUCGGAUUGUAAACCUCUGUCUUCGGUGACGAAACGAGGCGGUAGCCGAGGAGGAAGCCACGGCUAACUACGUGCCAGCAGCCGCGGUAAUACGUAGGUGGCAAGCGUUGUCCGGAAUUACUGGGUGUAAAGGGAGCGUAGGCGGGAAAGCAAGUUGAAUGUUUAAGGUACGGGCUCAACCUGUACAAGCGUUCAAAACUGUUUUUCUUGAGUGGAGUAGAGGUAAGCGGAAUUCCUAGUGUAGCGGUGAAAUGCGUAAAUAUUAGGAGGAACACCAGUGGCGAAGGCGGCCUGCUGGACGAUGACUGACGUUGAGGCUCGAAAGCGUGGGGAGCAAACAGGAUUAGAUACCCUCGUAA